GAGUGGAGAAGAAAGUGAAGAUUUUACACUUCAAGCUGCACUAGAAGAGUCUCUCUUGACUCAGCACAAGCAUUUCCCUGAGCCAGCAACUGAGGACCAGGCCACUUCAGAGUCUAAUGGAAAACACAUUGCGAAUGUUCUCACUGCUCUGGAGAAGGCAACUGAUUACUGUGGUG